CCCGCCUGCCCUGUGACUAUAUGUUUAACGGCCGCGGUAUUUUGACCGUGCGAAGGUAGCGCAAUCACUUGUCUUUUAAAUAGAGACCUGUAUGAAUGGCACAACGAGGGCUUAACUGUCUCCUUAUCCAAGUCAAUGAAAUUGAUCUUCCCGUGCAGAAGCGGGUAUAACAACAUAAGACGAGAAGACCCUAUGGAGCUUUAAAUGGGUGGGUAACCUACGUUAAGAAAACUUAACUAAAAGAAUAAACUAAGUAAACCUUACCCACAUAUUUUUGGUUGGGGCGACCGCGGGGUAAAACCCAACCCCCGCGAGGAACGAGGUAAUCCUUAAAACCACGAGCAUCAGCUCUAAGUAUCAAAACAUUUGACCUUCAGACCCGGCAAAGCCGAUCAACGAACCGAGUUACCCUAGGGAUAACAGCGCAAUCCUCUUUCAGAGUCCCUAUCGACAAGAGGGUUUACGACCUCGAUGUUGGAUCAGGACACCCCAAUGGUGCAGCCGCUAUUAACGGUUCG
rnacentral:rRNA from 1 species